ACCUGUUCCACCGCGUUAUUGAGUCCAGGUUGCGAAAGAUUUUGGAGAACAAGGUGUGUGACAAUGUGGCCAAGUCUGUGAAAAACGAGCUCCAGACGUACAUCCAGACGCUGCCAGUCACAGCCAGGAUAGAUGACAAGAUUGGGAUCGAUUACUCCUUAGUAGCACCCCCAAGAGCUACUGCCCGGUCCAUGGAUGCGGACCUGA